AUGAAUUGCUUAAGUUGGAACUGUCGGGGAGGGGGGAGUUCCCGGACAGUUUGAGAGUUGACGACCGUGUGUCGGUCACAUUCCCCCAUGUUUGUGUUUUUGUGUGAAACAAGACAGAAGGAAGAGAAGAUGAAGAGGUUGAGAGGCCGGUUGGGUCUGAAGGGUUUUUGUGGUGUUGAUAGCUCUGGUAUGAGUGGUGGCUUGGCCGUAUACUGGCGUGAAAACUGUGUGGUAGAAGUUCUAGACAAAGAUGAUCGUCACGUCGAUGUUCUAGUCCGUGUGUAG
rnacentral:rRNA from 1 species